UUCCCGUCGCCACACCCUUUCCUACUCAUUUCGGUCGACGUGUGUGCAUCGUCGCCACGCCAUUCCCUGUUCGAAGACCCUCUGUUCUCUUCUCCUCCAUCUCGGCGCCCUAAUCGCAUGUUCGUCUUUGUCAAACCUUUGCACCCAUUGGUUUCUUCUAGCUUGUUUCAUUGGUUUCGAUCUUUCUGUCAGUUGGAGAUGGAGUUUGCCCUUGCGGCUGCAGCAGAUUCUCUCCGGCGGGAGGGCCAUGUGGCCGGAGCUUAAAUUGGAGCAUGAUGCUAUUGUCCAGUAAUGUGUAUGUUCUUGUGGAUGAAAUAUUGAAAAAGAUAGUGGCUUGUGCUCCUACAUACCACAGCUUAUUUAUAGAAGAGCACUUGCUAGUUCAGUACAAACUUUAACUGUUUGUGCUAUGAAAGAAUUACAGUUAAACGAGAAUGCUGAAAAGAUUCAUCUCAGCUCAUCUUCGGCCAGUGAGACUACAAUUUUGGGAGUUCUGCAGGCAUUGAGCUUUCUUGUUGCUUCAUUACAGGAAAAGAAAUUUUCUCAGCUUUACCCUGAGAAAGAUUUUGGUCAUGCUCUUUCUCAAGCGUGCGACAUUAAUGCAGCACUUGAAUCACUGUGGCCAGAGUUGAGAAACUGCAAAGUUGAGGGUUCCUCACAAUCCCCAUCAGAAAUGGCUGUUACUUCUGCGAAUUUGGUAUCUGCAAAGAGCGUAGCGCCUCCACUUCCGGUUGGUACCCAGAACAUCUUGCCAUAUAGUACCCAGAACAUCUUGGCAUGUGACGAGCUGCAUCCUGGGCACUUAGUAGCAGUGAAAGAUAUUGGAACUGCAACACAACGAAUACUGAUGGUGGAGAAGCUAUAGCUAAUGAUGGUUGGACUGAAGUUGUCAGGGACAUGCAUAAAUGUUGAAGAAAAACAGUUAGCUUUUGUCAAGUUAUCAGAGAAACACCAGAAGCUGUUGAAUGCAUACAUCUGACAGAGCCCGAGAUUGCUUUAGAGGAUAUGAAGGGGAGGCUUAUUCUUCACUUUCAAGGUGAAGAAGCUGUUGAUGCAUGGAAAUGGUAUCGAGACACUGCUUGUCACAACAAUUGGGAAUAAAAUCCCAAUCCUGGCCACCAUCCAGAACGUCUCUCAUAUUUUGAGUUUGUGGGACGAGUGGGUCGGUAAGGCACUCUUUGAUGGCAGGCUUUUGGAUGUCCAUUUCAGUCAAUCUUUCUAUAAGCGCAUGCUUGGGAUCAAGGUAAACUUAUCAUGAUAUCGAGGCUUUUGAUCUUGAUUGCUACAAGAACCUAAAAUCGAUACUUAAGGUAUGCUUUCUUGUUAUGCAUCUUCUUGUUUAACCGUUAAGAAGUUAAAGUAUAUUUUGAAAGAUCAUAAAUUAAUAUUUAUAUUUUACGUAAGAUUAGAAAGAGCUUUAAGAAUAAGGAAUUCUUAGUUUAAAAUAUAUUUUAGAUGAUUUCAAAUAAGAUCAAAUAAAGUUGUAGAGAUUAGAGACUCUUGUAUUUUACAUCUAUAAAUAGAUAGCAUCCACAUGUAGAUCAACAAAAAUCCGCAAGUAUUUAAGUCAAUUCUAAGAGUCAUUGAAGAUCUGUGUAAGUAUUUUUCUUUUUAAGAAGUUCAAUAAAGUUUUUUCUUUUCCGUCUUGGUUUCUUUUCUUCUAUUUGGUUUGAUCUUGGGCUAGUAGUACCUUAUUACUACUAUUUGAG